GGGUUGUGAGGUUAAGCGACUAAGCGUACACGGUGGAUGCCCUGGCAGUCAGAGGCGAUGAAGGACGUGCUAAUCUGCGAUAAGCGUCGGUAAGGUGAUAUGAACCGUUAUAACCGGCGAUUUCCGAAUGGGGAAACCCAGUGUGUUUCGACACACUAUCAUUAACUGAAUCCAUAGGUUAAUGAGGCGAACCGGGGGAACUGAAACAUCUAAGUACCCCGAGGAAAAGAAAUCAACCGAGAUUCCCCCAGUAGCGGCGAGCGAACGGGGAGGAGCCCAGAGCCUGAAUCAGUGUGUGUGUUAGUGGAAGCGUCUGGAAAGGCGCGCGAUACAGGGUGACAGCCCCGUACACAAAAAUGCACAUAUUGUGAGCUCGAUGAGUAGGGCGGGACACGUGGUAUCCUGUCUGAAUAUGGGGGGACCAUCCUCCAAGGCUAAAUACUCCUGACUGACCGAUAGUGAACCAGUACCGUGAGGGAAAGGCGAAAAGAACCCCGGCGAGGGGAGUGAAAAAGAACCUGAAACCGUGUACGUACAAGCAGUGGGAGCACGCUUCGGCGUGUGACUGCGUACCUUUUGUAUAAUGGGUCAGCGACUUAUAUUCUGUAGCAAGGUUAACCGAAUAGGGGAGCCGAAGGGAAACCGAGUCUUAACUGGGCGUUAAGUUGCAGGGUAUAGACCCGAAACCCGGUGAUCUAGCCAUGGGCAGGUUGAAGGUUGGGUAACACUAACUGGAGGACCGAACCGACUAAUGUUGAAAAAUUAGCGGAUGACUUGUGGCUGGGGGUGAAAGGCCAAUCAAACCGGGAGAUAGCUGGUUCUCCCCGAAAGCUAUUUAGGUAGCGCCUCGUGAAUUCAUCUCCGGGGGUAGAGCACUGUUUCGGCAAGGGGGUCAUCCCGACUUACCAACCCGAUGCAAACUGCGAAUACCGGAGAAUGUUAUCACGGGAGACACACGGCGGGUGCUAACGUCCGUCGUGAAGAGGGAAACAACCCAGACCGCCAGCUAAGGUCCCAAAGUCAUGGUUAAGUGGGAAACGAUGUGGGAAGGCCCAGACAGCCAGGAUGUUGGCUUAGAAGCAGCCAUCAUUUAAAGAAAGCGUAAUAGCUCACUGGUCGAGUCGGCCUGCGCGGAAGAUGUAACGGGGCUAAACCAUGCACCGAAGCUGCGGCAGCGACACUAUGUGUUGUUGGGUAGGGGAGCGUUCUGUAAGCCUGUGAAGGUGUACUGUGAGGUAUGCUGGAGGUAUCAGAAGUGCGAAUGCUGACAUAAGUAACGAUAAAGCGGGUGAAAAGCCCGCUCGCCGGAAGACCAAGGGUUCCUGUCCAACGUUAAUCGGGGCAGGGUGAGUCGACCCCUAAGGCGAGGCCGAAAGGCGUAGUCGAUGGGAAACAGGUUAAUAUUCCUGUACUUGGUGUUACUGCGAAGGGGGGACGGAGAAGGCUAUGUUGGCCGGGCGACGGUUGUCCCGGUUUAAGCGUGUAGGCUGGUUUUCCAGGCAAAUCCGGAAAAUCAAGGCUGAGGCGUGAUGACGAGGCACUACGGUGCUGAAGCAACAAAUGCCCUGCUUCCAGGAAAAGCCUCUAAGCAUCAGGUAACAUCAAAUCGUACCCCAAACCGACACAGGUGGUCAGGUAGAGAAUACCAAGGCGCUUGAGAGAACUCGGGUGAAGGAACUAGGCAAAAUGGUGCCGUAACUUCGGGAGAAGGCACGCUGAUAUGUAGGUGAAGUCCCUCGCGGAUGGAGCUGAAAUCAGUCGAAGAUACCAGCUGGCUGCAACUGUUUAUUAAAAACACAGCACUGUGCAAACACGAAAGUGGACGUAUACGGUGUGACGCCUGCCCGGUGCCGGAAGGUUAAUUGAUGGGGUCAGCGCAAGCGAAGCUCUUGAUCGAAGCCCCGGUAAACGGCGGCCGUAACUAUAACGGUCCUAAGGUAGCGAAAUUCCUUGUCGGGUAAGUUCCGACCUGCACGAAUGGCGUAAUGAUGGCCAGGCUGUCUCCACCCGAGACUCAGUGAAAUUGAACUCGCUGUGAAGAUGCAGUGUACCCGCGGCAAGACGGAAAGACCCCGUGAACCUUUACUAUAGCUUGACACUGAACAUUGAGCCUUGAUGUGUAGGAUAGGUGGGAGGCUUUGAAGUGUGGACGCCAGUCUGCAUGGAGCCGACCUUGAAAUACCACCCUUUAAUGUUUGAUGUUCUAACGUGGACCCGUAAUCCGGGUUGCGGACAGUGUCUGGUGGGUAGUUUGACUGGGGCGGUCUCCUCCUAAAGAGUAACGGAGGAGCACGAAGGUUGGCUAAUCCUGGUCGGACAUCAGGAGGUUAGUGCAAUGGCAUAAGCCAGCUUGACUGCGAGCGUGACGGCGCGAGCAGGUGCGAAAGCAGGUCAUAGUGAUCCGGUGGUUCUGAAUGGAAGGGCCAUCGCUCAACGGAUAAAAGGUACUCCGGGGAUAACAGGCUGAUACCGCCCAAGAGUUCAUAUCGACGGCGGUGUUUGGCACCUCGAUGUCGGCUCAUCACAUCCUGGGGCUGAAGUAGGUCCCAAGGGUAUGGCUGUUCGCCAUUUAAAGUGGUACGCGAGCUGGGUUUAGAACGUCGUGAGACAGUUCGGUCCCUAUCUGCCGUGGGCGCUGGAGAACUGAGGGGGGCUGCUCCUAGUACGAGAGGACCGGAGUGGACGCAUCACUGGUGUUCGGGUUGUCAUGCCAAUGGCACUGCCCGGUAGCUAAAUGCGGAAGAGAUAAGUGCUGAAAGCAUCUAAGCACGAAACUUGCCCCGAGAUGAGUUCUCCCUGACUCCUUGAGAGUCCUGAAGGAACGUUGAAGACGACGACGUUGAUAGGCCGGGUGUGUAAGCGCAGCGAUGCGUUGAGCUAACCGGUACUAAUGAACCGUGAGGCUUAACCUUACAACGCCGAAGCUGUU
rnacentral:rRNA from 1 species